CUACGGUGAAUACGUUCCCGGACCUUGCACACACCGCCCGUCAAGCCACGGAAGCUGGGUGUACCUAAAGUCGGUAACCGUAAGGAGCCGCCUAGGGUAAAACUAGUGACUGGGGCU
rnacentral:rRNA from 1 species